GAUGAACGCUGGCGGCGUGCCUAACACAUGCAAGUCGAGCGAUCUUCUUCGGAAGAGAGCGGCGGACGGGUGAGUAACGCGUGGGUAACCUGCCCUGUACACACGGAUAACAUACCGAAAGGUAUGCUAAUACGGGAUGAUAUAUGAAAGUCGCAUGGCUUUCAUAUCAAAGCUCCGGCGGUACAGGAUGGACCCGCGUCUGAUUAGCUAGUUGGUAAGGUAACGGCUUACCAAGGCGACGAUCAGUAGCCGACCUGAGAGGGUGAUCGGCCACACUGGAACUGAGACACGGUCCAGACUCCUACGGGAGGCAGCAGUGGGGAAUAUUGCACAAUGGGCGAAAGCCUGAUGCAGCAACGCCGCGUGAGCGAUGAAGGCCUUCGGGUCGUAAAGCUCUGUCCUCAAGGAAGAUAAUGACGGUACUUGAGGAGGAAGCCCCGGCUAACUACGUGCCAGCAGCCGCGGUAAUACGUAGGGGGCUAGCGUUAUCCGGAAUUACUGGGCGUAAAGGGUGCGUAGGCGGUCUUUCAAGCCAGAAGUGAAAGGCUACGGCUCAACCGUAGUAAGCUUUUGGAACUGUAGGACUUGAGUGCAGGAGAGGAGAGUAGAAUUCCUAGUGUAGCGGUGAAAUGCGUAGAUAUUAGGAGGAAUACCAGUAGCGAAGGCGGCUCUCUGGACUGUAACUGACGCUGAGGCACGAAAGCGUGGGGAGCAAACAGG
rnacentral:rRNA from 1 species